AUGGCGUGGCGAUGGACAUCAGCAAGGCGGAGCCGCAUUCUCCAGCGACCCGUAUGGUGCAGCAGUCCAGGCGCUGCAAAUCGCCGAUUCGUCCCAGGACGGAUCCAUCAUCGAUCUGAUGUCCACUACAACCGUUCAGAUUCUAGGCUCCGACGAGGAAGAGUAGGGAGACGGCGAUAUAUCAAGUUUAAAAUUACUAACCCGCACAAGCUCACGGGACUCAAGGCGUCGCCGGCUCACGAGACUCAAGGCGUCGCUGUCUCCCGUGAGCCGGCUCGUGUCCCAUGCCCUACUCUACAUUGCCGGCAACCGGACCAACACUCUCGGGAGCGCAGCCGGCCCCGGACAUGGUCACAUUGGAACCAAGCGAGCUCUGCUUAG
rnacentral:rRNA from 1 species